GACGAACGCUGGCGGCGUGCUUAACACAUGCAAGUCGAACGCUGAAGCUUGGUGCUUGCACUGGGUGGAUGAGUGGCGAACGGGUGAGUAAUACGUGAGUAACCUGCCCUUGACUCUGGGAUAAGCCUGGGAAACUGGGUCUAAUACUGGAUACGACAUGUCACCGCAUGGUGGUGUGUGGAAAGGGUUUUACUGGUUUUGGAUGGGCUCACGGCCUAUCAGCUUGUUGGUGGGGUAAUGGCUCACCAAGGCGACGACGGGUAGCCGGCCUGAGAGGGUGACCGGCCACACUGGGACUGAGACACGGCCCAGACUCCUACGGGAGGCAGCAGUGGGGAAUAUUGCACAAUGGGCGGAAGCCUGAUGCAGCGACGCCGCGUGAGGGAUGACGGUCUUCGGGUUGUAAACCUCUUUCAGCACGGAAGAAGCGAAAGUGACGGUACGUGCAGAGGAAGCGCCGGCUAACUACGUG
rnacentral:rRNA from 1 species